GUUGAAGCUCUCGUUAGUGUAGCUAAGGAUUCCUCGAAACACUAUGAAGUCUGUUUACCUUUUCGCCUUCACUUUCUUUUUACUUUAUACUGCUUGCAAGGGAAUGCCAAAUGCCUUUUCUGAUGAAAACUUUGGCUCCCCUUGUGACUGUACAAGCGCUGAAGGUCAACGAGUAUGCCCGCGGAGAUGCGCCUGCUGGCCAAGAGGGGAUACGCCUGAUGGCCCUACGUGUAUUGAUAGGCCGGAGAGAAACUAAGGACGCAAGCACAUCGCGAUGCACUUCCUUCGUAAGCACGGCGAGGACUGUCGAAAAAUAAAGACUUUUUCGAUGCGAU